rnacentral:siRNA from 1 species
AGUCUAGUGUUAUAUGAAACUUC